CUCAGGAUGAACGCUAGCGGCAGGCCUAACACAUGCAAGUCGAGCGAAGUCUUCGGACUUAGCGGCGGACGGGUGAGUAACGCGUGGGAACAUACCCAGGGGUUCGGAAUAACUUAGGGAAACUUAAGCUAAUACCGGAUACGCCUUGCGAGGGAAAGAUUUAUCGCCCCUGGAUUGGCCCGCGUCGGAUUAGUUUGUUGGUAGGGUAAAAGCCUACCAAGGCUACGAUCCGUAGCUGGUCUGAGAGGAUGAUCAGCCACACUGGGACUGAGACACGGCCCAGACUCC
rnacentral:rRNA from 1 species